UUUCCUCAAAUUUUUUUUUCCUCAAUUUUUUUUUCCUCAAAUUUUUAUUUUCCUCAAAAUAUUUUUCCUCGAAAAGUUUUUCUUCAAAAUUUUUUUUCGUUUCCUUAUUCGUUUUCUUUUUCCAUUUUCGAUUAUCAUUCCUUAUUUGGUUUCUUUUUCCUUAUUCGAUUUUCAUUUCCUUAUUCGGUUUCUAUUUCCUUAU
rnacentral:lncRNA from 1 species